rnacentral:rRNA from 1 species
CUAAUCUGCGAUAAGCGUCGGUAAGGUGAUAUGAACCGUUAUAACCGGCGAUUUCCGAAUGGGGAAACCCAGUGUGAUUCGUCACACUAUCAUUAACUGAAUCCAUAGGUUAAUGAGGCGAACCGGGAGAACUGAAACAUCUAAGUACCCCGAGGAAAAGAAAUCAACCGAGAUUCCCCCAGUAGCGGCGAGCGAACGGGGAACAGCCC